rnacentral:rRNA from 1 species
UACCCUACGGGGGGCAGCAGUGGGGAAUAUUGCACAAUGGGGGAAACCCUGAUGCAGCAACGCCGCGUGGGUGAAGAAGUAUUUCGGUAUGUAAAGCCCUAUCAGCAGGGAAGAGAAUGACGGUACCUGACUAAGAAGCCCCGGCUAACUACGUGCCAGCAGCCGCGGUAAUACGUAGGGGGCAAGCGUUAUCCGGAUUUACUGGGUGUAAAGGGGGCGCAGACGGCGAUGCAAGC